UUGUACUCAACUUCCGGAUCAAUGUGCAUUUGAAGCUCCGGUAGUUCGGCUAGUCCAUCAAGACGUUUCUGAGAGAAAAGAAGAAAAAUUAUGAUUUCGUUAGAAAGCUUACAGCACAGCAGGAUGAAUAUGAGGAGAACUUCUUUCAACUGAAGUUGACGCGUUCAAGGACAAGAACUGAAUGAUUAAUGCUCUUCUCCAAAUGCCCAAAUAUAUAUAGUCAACUGUCGCGUGCUACCCUUGCCGGUAAUUGGACACGCGCCCUUUUCAAAUUGGAGGGGGUAUUUGACUGGUACAAAACAACCAAUCAUAGCCAGUGUAACAGUGCUCUACGCCAAGACACCAUUUUUAAGAGAAUCUUCUGUCACCAUUGCCCUCACAGAACAACUUCAGAAAGAUGAGCGUUGUAGAUGGAAUUUAUAAGUUCGUCAACUCUUGGAACUUUUAAAGUAAAUAAUAUAGACUCUAACGCGUUGCAUGAAUUAUAUCAGUAAAGAAGAAGAGAAGCCAAGAAUUCUAAAGAAGCUAAUAGAGCUAACCCGUGAAAAAUAUCGCGUGUCUAUGUAUUUCCAGCUUCAGCUGGAAAAACGCUGUUAAAAACUCAAACGUCCAAUGAUUAAAUGAUACUUGAUAACUUCGAUUUUUAAAUUCUCUGCUAUAAUUAAAGUCUACCUGACAAACGUUAGUUUAUCCAUAUUAGCCUUGUAUGUAUUACGUAUUUUAAUUUUGCAUAUUACAAGAGGCUGAAAAAUCUUUACACUGCAGAGGAAACAAUAUAAAAUUACAAAGUGAUGGUAGUUGACAAAAAUUUGCAUAAAACUCUAAGAAAGACUUUUCAUCUGUGAGAAUGGGACGUUGCUGACUCACCCUUCUUCGGCAUCAUGCGUAAACAAACUACUUUCGAAAAUACAUGUCACAGACAGAGCGAAUGACUAAUAAAGCUUAAAAGUUCCUAUAAUCUA